rnacentral:tRNA from 2 species
GUGGGCGUAGCUCAGUUGGUAGAGCUCCGGGUUGUGAUCCCGGUGGUCGCGGGUUCGAUCCCCGUCGCUCACCCCA